GACGUAGGGCGCAAGCGUUGUCCGGAUUUAUUGGGCGUAAAGAGCUCGUAGGCGGCCUGUCGCGUCGACUGUGAAAACCCGCAGCUUAACUGCGGGACUGCAGUCGAUACGGGCAGGCUAGAGUUCGGUAGGGGAGACUGGAAUUCCUGGUGUAGCGGUGAAAUGCGCAGAUAUCAGGAGGAACACCGGUGGCGAAGGCGGGUCUCUGGGCCGAUACUGACGCUGAGGAGCGAAAGCGUGGGGAGUGAACAGG
rnacentral:rRNA from 1 species